rnacentral:lncRNA from 1 species
UGUAGAAUCUGCAAGUGGAGAUAUGGACCGCUUUCAGGCCUAUGGUAGUAAAGGAAAUAGCUUCAUAUAAAAGCUAGACAAUAGCAUUCACAGAAAACUCUUGGUGACGACUGAGUUUAACUCACAGAGCUGAACAUUCCUUUGGAUGGAGCAGUUUCGAAACACACUAUUUGUAGAAUGUGCAAGUGGAUAUUUGGGCCUCUCUGAGGAUUUCGCUGGAAACGGGAU